CUACAUGAAGCUGGAAUCGCUAGUAAUCGCGGAUCAGAAUGCCGCGGUGAAUACGUUCCCGGGUCUUGUACACACCGCCCGCCACACCAUGGGGAGUCGGAAAUGCCCGAAGUCUGUGACCCAACCUGAGAGGGAGGGAGCAGCCGAAGGCAGGUCUGAUGACUGGGGUGAAGUCGUAACAAGGUAGC
rnacentral:rRNA from 1 species